AUUAAACGCUGGCGGCAUGCCUUACACAUGCAAGUCGAACGGCAGCACGGGGGCAACCCUGGUGGCGAGUGGCGAACGGGUGAGUAAAGCAUCGGAACGUGCCCUGGAGUGGGGGAUAACGUAGCGAAAGUUACGCUAAUACCGCAUAUUCUGUGAGCAGGAAAGCAGGGGAUCGCAAGACCUUGCGCUCUGGGAGCGGCCGAUGUCGGAUUAGCUAGUUGGUGGGUAAAGGCCUACCAAGGCGACGAUCCGUAGCGGGUCUGAGAGGAUGAUCCGCCACACUGGGACUGAGACACGGCCCAGACUCCUACGGGAGGCAGCAGUGGGGAAUUUUGGACAAUGGGCGAAAGCCUGAUCCAGCCAUGCCGCGUGAGUGAAGAAGGCC
rnacentral:rRNA from 1 species